rnacentral:lncRNA from 1 species
AAAAGAACAGACAACUAAUGAUUUGCUUCUAUGUCCAGAAUAUUUUACCUUUAAAAAAAAUGUCAUUGGCACCAUAAAUAAGGACUGUGAGAGACUGUUUAAAAGCUGUGAAUGUCUGAAACCUAUAAGCCAAGGUGUUCCCUGCCUAAACUUAUUGCUGUUCCCACAAAGGACUAAGCCUGUUCAUAAGUUACCAAAGUUGCCAUUUUGGAGAUGGAAAU